CGGGAUGUGGCUCAGCUGGCUAGAGCGCUGCGUUCGGGACGCAGAAGUCGGAGGUUCGAAUCCUCUCAUCCCGA
rnacentral:tRNA from 1 species